GACGAACGCUGGCGGCGUGCUUAACACAUGCAAGUCGAACGAUGAUGCCCAGCUUGCUGGGUUGAUUAGUGGCGAACGGGUGAGUAACACGUGAGUAACCUGCACUUGACUUCGGGAUAACUCCGGGAAACCGGGGCUAAUACCGGAUAUGAGCCGUACUCGCAUGGGGGUGGCUGGAACGUUUUUCGGUCAGGGAUGGGCUCGCGGCCUAUCAGCUUGUUGGUGGGGUGAUGGCCUACCAAGGCGACGACGGGUAGCCGGCCUGAGAGGGCGACUGGCCACACUGGGACUGAGACACGGCCCAGACUCCUACGGGAGGCAGCAGUGGGGAAUAGUGCACAAGGGACGAAAGCCUGAUGCAGCCACGCCGCGUGAGGGAUGACGGCCUUCGGGUAGUAAACCUCUUUCAGCAGGGAAGAAGCGCAAGUGACGGUACCUGCAGAAGAAGCGCCGGCUAACUACGUGCCAGCCGCCGCGGUAAUAC
rnacentral:rRNA from 1 species